UACAGAGGGUGCAAGCGUUGCUCGGAAUUAUUGGGCGUAAAGGGUAGGUAGGUGGUCUCAUUUGUCCGGGGUGAAAUCCCUGAUUUCAAGUCAGGAAGUGCCUUGGAAACGGUGAGACUAGAGUCUUGGAGAGGGUCGCGGAAUUCCCGGUGUAGCGGUGAAAUGCGUAGAGAUCGGGAGGAACACCAGAUGCGAAGGCGGCGGCCUGGCCAAGAACUGACACUCAACUACGAAAGCGUGGGUAGCAAAC
rnacentral:rRNA from 1 species